rnacentral:rRNA from 1 species
CCCUUAGAUGUCCUGGGCCGCACGCGCGCUACACUGAUGCAUUCAACGAGUUUUACCUUGGCCGAGAGGCCUGGGCAAUCUUUUAAACCUGCAUCGUGAUAGGGAUAGAUUAUUGCAAUUAUUAAUCUUGAACGGGGAAUUCCUAGUAAACGCAAAUCAUCAAUUUGCAUUGAUUACGUCCCUGCCCUUUGUACACACCGCCCGUCGCACCUACCGAUUGAAUGGUCCGGUGAAGCCUCGGGAUUGUGGCCAGUUCACUUUAUUGGGAGUUGGCUGUGAGAACUUGUCUAAACCUUAUCAUUUAGAGGAAGGUGAAGUCGUAACA